UACGAAGGGGGCUAGCGUUGCUCGGAAUCACUGGGCGUAAAGCGCACGUAGGCGGAUCUUUAAGUCAGGGGUGAAAUCCCAAGGCUCAACCUUGGAACUGCCUUUGAUACUGGGGAUCUCGAGUCCGGAAGAGGUUGGUGGAACUCCGAGUGUAGAGGUGAAAUUCGUAGAUAUUCGGAAGAACACCAGUGGCGAAGGCGACUUACUGGACACAUAUUGACGCUGAGGUGCGAAAGCGUGGGGAGCAAACAGG
rnacentral:rRNA from 1 species